GACAAGGGUUUGGAGAGCCAUUGGGCAAGCUCCAGGAAAAGCAGAGCUGCUGCUGUCCUGCUGAGAUCCCCCUCGAGCUGCUUUUACAGAGGAGAGACACCAGCAGGGCCAAGGGGGGAAUUCUGGGAAAUCGGAGAUGCCUGAAGCCACUCCCAGAAAGAGAAGCUGACUCCAAGUGACAGGCGGGGCCUGCUGGUGAGAAACAGCCCUGUGCUCUGGUGAGGUCCUGGUGAGUGGCAGCCCCUGCUGGGGAUGAGGGACCAGGGAAGCAACAGCAUUCCUGGGGCAGCGUGGUGGUUCUGGCCUUUCCCCAGGUCUGUAAACCCCCUCAGGCUAGGAAGGGCUUCUCCUCUCCUCCUCUGGGUCAGGAGAAAGGCAGGACAGCUUCUGUCCUCAGAUGUGAGCAGCAGGCCUGUGGAGGAUCCCGAAAGAGAGAGAAAGCCAAUCCAGCCCCUUCAGGCCUAGUGAGGAGGGCAGAGCCCAGGCGAGGGUGGGUCCUCUGGAGGAGCUGGCUUUGGGAGUCUGGCAUUGGAAAUUGAUUUAAUUUUGGCCUUGUCUCCCCCGCAACAGAGUUAAAUGGCAGUCACUCCAUUUAGAGGGGCACCGGCGGGGAUCUGGAGCUUUGGAGGACCCUCUUUCUCUAUGCAACAGAGGGACUAGCGGCAACCGUUUAGUCUCUGACUUUCAGGCUUCUGAGGGUAAAUCAGGAAAGUAGGGAUUUAUGUUCUAGAGUAAUCCAAAAUGAGUAAACCAUACUCUCCCUCCAAUGAGUGGCUUAAAUUCUCUUCAGCUUAUUGAGAUGAUUGAUAUGGGAAAAGUGGUCCUCGAAAUUAACUUUCCAGUAGGGGAUUGAUGAGAAGCAACCGUAUUCUAAAGAGAAUGACAGUAGUGAUAAUUGUUAUUAUAACGACAGUAAGGAAACCACCAUUUAAAGAAUAUUGUUCGCGAGCCAGGGCCUCUAUUAAGGGUUUAUGUGCCUCACCUUACUCCAUCCUUACAGCCCUCCUCUGGGCAUGAAUAUUGUGAUUCCUGCUUUGAGAAUGAAGCUGCUGAGGCUUAGAGAGGUUCCACUGCUUUCCCACACCAUGUCCCUGUUAAAAGGUGGCAGAGUUGGGAUUUGAACCUAAGGUCUGCUGGGUUCUGUAGUGAGUAGUGACUUGCAUCAUCUACUGGGGCAGCAAGGCACGUGGAAGUAGCACUGGCCUACCAGCCCACCAGGAGACAGAGCUAAGGGCGUCUCACUGUCAGAGUGGAGUCUGAGACCCUAAAGGAUGCAGCCCAGACAUUUCUAUCAGACCCUGUCACCCCCCACCAGGUUGUUCCCCCCUCCACAGCAUCCUCCAUUGGCUUGUUCUCCAUACUCUUCUACACCCCAGAGCCUUUGUGGGUGCUGGUCCUUAUUCUUGAAACCCUGUCCUCUCUCUUGCUUCUGGCACAUUCUUGCUCAGGCAAGAUGCCAUCUCCCUUUUGAAGAUGUUCUCUGAUUUCCAAACGGCCAGUCCUUUGGCUUCUGUCAUGGCACGCUCUGUAAUUAUUUGUUUUCAUCAACAUUCAUUCGGCAAAUACUUGCUGAGUGACUCAUCUGCUGGAACAUUGUGUUAGGUGCUUGUGAAUUUUCUCCUGUCCAUUUACCCUGUCCUCCAGGCACCUAACACGCCCUCAAAUUCACAGGUGGUUGGUUUUUGUUGAUGUUUGUUUGUGUGUGUUUCUUUAUAGAGAUGUGUUUUAUUUUUUCCCUGAAUUCCAGGGAAUUGACAAAGAAGGCCCAUAGAAAGUUCUCUCUAGCUAUUUGAUGAGUGCAUAUAAGACCUGGAACUUAUCCUACUUUUGAAUGACUAUGUUUUUCCCUAUAUAACCUGCUAGCAUCUUAGAUGUUUAUGAACAAAAGUUGGGUCUUGUUUUGCUUUUUUUCCCCACUGCUUGGCAUAGACAAGGAGUUUGGUACAUGUUUAUUGGCUGAAUGAUUAGUGAAAACUCUGAGGUCUGGAGAAUGAAUAUAUUAAUUCUUCAAGGAUGGAUCAAGCGCCCACGCUGGGUCUAACACUGAGAUCAUUGCUUGGGUAGCACCCAGAAGAGCUCACAUCCUUAGGAGUCUAAGUGUCCAGUGACCAGACCUAUACACAAAAGUGACAAAGGAAGGAUCCAGCAGAGGAUGAGCCCAGAUGCCAACCACUCACCCCCUGUGUCCAGGACCGAUGCUGGUCCCCAGCUGUGUCCUCAGCCCACUUCUGAUUCCCAAAGCUUGCUCCCUUAGAGGACUCUCUGCCUCUAGAGAGCAAUGACUGUGGCCCAUGAAAGGGCCCUGAGUUCCUGCCGGGUGAUUGCCCAUCUACUUGAGCCUGAAUUAAAGUAGAACAAAAGGCAGGGACCCUUCCUGCCCCUAAGCAUCAUUGCUUGUAUGCCUGGGAGGGACCACAGCUGGUCAUUUGGCCGGCUCUCAUCUCCUGUAGAAAUCAUGUAGGGGGAUGUGGGAAAUCGUUGUGGAAGGUAUAUUAACAUCCAGCCCCAGAAUUCUUUCUUGGGGGAAGAACUGUCUUAAAACUCAGAAGGCAAUGUUUCAGGAGACAAAGUGACAGAGAGAGAACGGGUGUUUGGGGCAUAAAAUAAAUGAGGAACUUGGAUGAGGGGAUUUGAAAGAAGAAAGGAAAAAAAGGAGAAGAGGACAAAGUAGAAUCUGGAAUAUGCAUUGGUGAAAGUUUUUAAGAAUGGGGUGUCUGAUAUUUGUUAGCACAUUUUGAGUGUGUGUGUGUGUGUGCGCACACGCACGCAAGUGCAUGUGCAUGUGUGCUGUAAAUCUUUCUCUGUCUUCUAUAAAGAUCUCUCCCUCCUCACCCUCAUGCACAAGAACCUCUAGUGGGUUUGGGGUAGAGGAGAGAAGAGAAAUUGAGGAAAAAUUGCUGAGUACCUUGUUUAUAUUGGCAAAGAAAACCCACACAGCUUUGUGGACCAUCCCCAAACUGAAGUAAUUUGUUGGAAUCAAGGGAUCACAGUGAGAGAUGACAGAAAUUCUCCAGGAGGAGAAUGGAACUUGUCUGUUGCAUGCAGGUUGGGGUCUCAAACCCACCUUUAUUUAACCCUCAAAGAAUAGGGGCAUUCAUUAGGAUUCUUUAGUCCUAAGUAACAGAAAUUGUGGCUAAAAUGUCAGUAAAAAAAAUCUCUCAGGAGUAUUCUCAGUGGUUCACAGAACUGAAAAGGAAGUCCAUCAGCCAGGUCCUGGUGAGUUGGAACUAGUGGACUGGACACCAGUCCAGGGACCCCGGGGGUGAACUGGCCUAGUGGUUUGCCAUGUUAAGGAGGCAUGGACCCCUUCAAGGUCACCUCCCCACAUGAUUGGCUGGGGCCGAAUGGAUUAGGGAAGUCACCAUUGACCAUUGUCUCAAAGAGAUUUGAUGAAGGAAAGAAAGGGGACACUUCUUCCAGAAAACUCCACAGAGGGGAUGCCAGGCCCACAGAAACACCCCAUGUUCAGGCCCACGGAUAGGUACCUUGACUCUGCACAUGCUGACUCAUAAGGGUUGAGCAGGUGACAUUGUCUCCUGUGCUCUCCAGGAAUGCAUUUUUAAAAAUUUAUUCGAAUUAGUUAUAUUUUCAGUGGGCUGCUGGUUAGAACUAACCAGCACCACAGCAGGGGCCGGCCAAUGGAGGAAAAGGGCAGGGCUGAGAAUGGAGUCCCCUGUCCUCCCGUGUUGGGCCCUACCUUCUACAUGGCGCCCUGGCCCUGCCAGCCCCACCCCCCAUCCUAGCCUUUGCUCCAGCUGUUCCCUCUACCUGGAAUCGCCUCCCCUUUCUUUGUCACCUGUUCAUUCACUUCAAACAAGAGAAUCCCCAGAAAGGAAUCUUUUCUAACCUUCCCCUUCCUCAAGAGGUAGGAGUGUCUCUCCAUCUCUACCCUUAUUCUAUUUCAUCUUUAAAAUAGUUAUUGCUUGUGAAAAUAGUCAACGCAGCACAUGGCAAACAUUUUCGGCAUACAAAGAGGGAUAGAGAGGAAAAGUGGGCCUCCCUUUGCCUCUGACCUCGGCUUUCCCGCCAGGGGACAGCGCUUUCCCAUCUCCUUCUAGAACACCCCACACAGACAACUCCACCCUCCCCGGGAGGCCCUGCUUUUUCAUUUUCUGGGCCUCUGAGGGGAAGGACUCCUUGUCUGCCUUUGGGGCGUGGGUGCCCUGCAGCUCCUUGUACAAGUUCAGCCACCAACAGCUUAGAGCUGUGUUUUUGCCCAAGGAGAAGCGGGAGGGCCGGGGGAUGGGUGCUGUCUGAGAUCACUUGGUGCCACGCUCUGUGAUCUAUGAGUUGCUUUUAAUUUCCUGUGCUGGCUGCCGGCAGCCGGAGGAAAUGAGGCAGAUAGCUGGGCUUCACAUCUAGCCCUGCCUGGACCCGGGCUUGUCUGCUUGCUGCAGGGUCACGGUCCUUAGAUCCUGGAGAAGAGCUGAGUGCCCUCCCCAAUCUCUGCACCUCCCCCACAACCCCCCCCCAAUUGAAGGAGGGGGCAGGUUGGUGACCUCAUGGCUGCAGGAGUCAGGGAGAGGGACUGAGUUUCUCACCUGGGCUUUGGGGUGAGACCCAGAUGGUUAGGGUUCUGGCUCUGUGGCCUCCCGGCCACCUGACUUUAGGGCAAGUUGCAUUGACUCUCUGAACCUCAGUUUUCUCUUCCAUAAAUGGGGCUAAUAGAAGGACCCAUUUCAAGGAAUUCUCAGGAGGAUUCAGAGAAUAGGAAUUCUGUGUGUGAGGCCAGAUGCUGAAGCCUGCCUCAAGCUGAGCUUGUGGCUGGUCUCCUUUGUCCUCUCUCUUCCUUCCAGCAUGCCUUCCCCUUCCAGGGACUAAGUGGCCUUAUUUUUCCUCAUCUCUUCUGACAUGAGCAGCAAUAAAUCCCAUGCUGCAGCUUCUUCCUGCCACCUCCCUUUGAUUUAGUGCCAUCUUUGUGCCAGGCAUGAUGCCUUUAAUGUGGGACAUGCCAGCUAAUCUCAACCACCCCUCCUAUUCUUGCUUUUGAGCUGGGGUUCCCUCAUGGUUUCCCCUCUGGAUAGGUACCUUGGCUAUUAUAGACAGAAUAAGGAAAGCCAGCAGCCUGGUGGUCAUUGGUACGAGGGGGCACGAUCUCCAUCGUUGGGUUUGCAUUUUCAGAGUAGUUUUAUAAAAAGAGGUCAGAGUCUAGUUCUGAAGAAUUAAUGAAAGCCGGGCCAAUGCGGCACACAUGUGCAAUCGCAAGGAUUCAGGAGGCUGAGGUGGGAGGAUCACAAAUUCAAGGUCAGCCUCAGCAAAUUAGGGAGACACUGUCUUCAAGUAAAAAGGGUCGGGGAUGUAGUUCAGCAUUAAAGCAUGACUAAGCUCAAUCCCCAGUACUAAACAAAAAGACAAGAAAAAAGAAAAGAAAAAGGAAGAAUUAAUUGAUCACAGGAGCAAGUCAACCUUCCUCAAUAGGCUUGAGAAGAGAGGAUUUUCUGGGGAACAAGGAAAGCCUUUCUAUCACCCUUAAGAAAACACAACAAAGGCCACUGCCUCCUCCCCCUGAAAUUAAGAUCAGCUCAGCAGGUGUCUCCAGAGAGCAGGGCCGAGUUCCUUGCUGUGAUGUUUUCACAAAGCAGGUAAACAGAGCGGCUGCUCCCUGAGUUCCACCUACUGAUGCUCAAGAUCAUUCAGGGAGCAUAAAGUGUCCCCUGAUUGAGUCCCCUGAAAACCAAAGAGGAUGCCCCACCUUUAACAAAGUGGUGCUGCUGGGUGCUGAGCCUUUGUCCUGAGCAGCUGCGGGGCUUCCCUGCACCUGCAAGUGUCACUGGCAGCUGGUGGCCCACCUGGUGCUCAGGUGGUGAAGGCAGCAAGAGAGGGGUGAGGAGGGAGAGUAGGGGCUGGGGCCACACUGGCUCUGAUGUGAUGCAUGCUUUGGCUCUGUGGACAUUUUAGGGGUAAUUGACUCCAUUCAUUUGCUAAUGAGGGAACCCAGGGAUGGGGAGUGACCAGGCUUACAUUCUACACCCACUUGUCCUGAAAUCACUACAAAAACGCCGCCUUCCACCAGAGUAAUCAGAGCACUGAAUAGUUAGCUCCUGUCACAUUUCAUGAGGGGAUUUCACCUUCUGUCUCCCCUUCCCUUUUCUUUCCUCACCUCCUUCCCUCCUCUGCUUACUCCUUCAUCUCUCCCUCUCCAUCCUCUCAUUUGGUCUUUACAGCAACCAGGCAAGCUUCCAAUAUUUUAAAGAUGAGUAACUGAGGCUCAGAGAGAGGACACUGCCUGCCUGGAGUCACACCAAGGUGAGUGCCAGAGGAGCGAUGGAGUGGCCACCAAAUGCCUCCCACUGAUGCUCCUUGCUCACACCUACUAGCUGUAAUCCCCAUUCAGGCUCCUUUGUCUGCUUCCUCCUCUGUGAAUAGGGCAGUGACAGUCGCCACCCCCCCCCCAUGGUACCUGAGUUAUAGAAAAUGCUCAUCACAGUAUGUGGCACUUAGCAAGGGUUUGAUCAAAGUCACCUUUACACCGUGCAUCUUGACAGUCCUAAACACUGUCACCAUGUAGAUGGUGUGCACCUGACGUUAUGUGUUGAACUUGAGCUUAUUUUGUGCUCCGCAGUGCAAAAGAUUUAUUUUGCAAUGCAAAUUAGACAGUAAUCCAAUCUUCAAUUGGCAAAGAUGUUAGUGCUGGUGAGUGUGUGGGGACACAGGAAAGAGAUGGGCAGAGUCACCCUUCACACAGUUAAUAGCAGGGGUACCCUCACUCCCCCGGGGGAGGAAUGCAAGGUGGGCUGCGCUGUCCUCUGCCACUGGGGGCAUGAAACUUGGCUUCCACCUUGGGAAGACCAACUUUGGAGUUGCACAUUAGAUGCUACAGAAAUCCUUUAGGGAUUUCGACCCCACAGUAGGCAUUCUUCAGAGAGUGGCAUUAAAAUGCAGGAAAGAAACUAAAAAAAGUCUCAUAGUUGUGUGGUCAGAUGGGGAGGAGGAGGUUUCAACUGUUCUUGGUUGCACAGUCAAUAAAAGAGUGACCUCUGAAAAGUGAACACAUUAAAAGCCAGCCUGCUGACCCUCUGGGGGUGACUCACAAACCCUCUCAAACUUACCUGCCCACCCUGCACUCAGGAUUCCAUUUCACCCUAUGACGCUUAUUGCUCCCUGCCCACCCUUUGGAUCCUUUUCAAUUGGCCCUGAAAGGAAGAUGAGCACUCUCUCCUCACAGGGCUGAUGUGUGCAAUAAGAGACAGACUUCACCUUAACGGGUUAGCUCAUAAGAAGUGGUGCUCAAGAACAGUAGCUCUUCUUGGGGAGAGUCUUCUUGGACCAGAUUCCUUUGGUAUUGGUUUGGUACUAAGGCAUAAUAAGGAUGUCUUGGGUAAGUCCUCUGAACCGCAGGUUUAUCACUUGUAAAGUGGGAGUAAUGAAGGUUGCUCAGAGUAUUCAUUGAGGAUAUAUGUAUUGCCCUUAGCAUGUCGCCUGUCACAUAGUAAGUUUUUAGCACCACAAAUGGUAGCUGUGAGUUCCUGCUAGAAUUGUUACAUCUUGGUUCCUCUCUGGGAGGUGGCUUCCUUCCACUAACCACCAUCUUUGUUGCCACCCGCUGGCCUGAUUGCUCAAGUGUGCCUGCCUCUGGGUCCAGCACUACGUUCCAGUCCCCUCCCUCUAGCAGGUGCGACGGUGAUAGACUCACUGUGAAUAGGCCUUCUGUGCUUGCCUGGGCUUGUUGGCUGGGGCUGUGUGCUGCCCUCGUUUUGCAGCUGAGGACACCGCCCUAGGACUGGGAUGUCUUGUGCAGAGUGGCGGCUCCAGGGCCUCCACCCCACUGUUGACUUUGGCAUGGAGGACUCUGGGGGAGUUCAGAGCAGCACAGAAAAAACAGUGCGGCUCUUGCCAAUUUCCUUGAGCUCUGAGGGAAAGAAACAGAAAAGCGUAACACGAGGAACAACAUGAAAAUGGGAUUGGAAGUUGCUGGAAGCCUUUGGGGCGUGCUCCAGGAGCCACAAGCUGUUCCUGUUUGGCUGCCUGGGGCUUCCUACUCUGUUGGAUGAGAGGAGGUGAGAUCUCACUGUCAGAGGGGUGGAGGCCGGUCCCUGGAGAUGGCAGAGGGAAAAGAUGGCGGAAGGCAUCUUUUACAGCGGUUUUCCUGUAUGGUGGGUAUGGAACCUUUUCUCCACCCUUCAGUUCCACUUGUGAUGAUAUCUGUGUUACUCUUUGGUGUUUGGGGAAUUAGAUUUGUUUGGGGGUGCCGAAUGUAAAUUCAAGGUUGGCAUUGAGUGUGAAAAGAAGUGGCCAAAGGGGAUUGGAUCUUAGAUGUUCCCCAAAGACCCAUGUGUUAAAGGCACGAUUGCCAGCCUGUGGCCCUGGGGAGAGGGAGGACCUUUAGGAGGUGAGGCUUAGGGCAAGCAAGUUAGGCCACUGGGGCAGGCCACUGAAGGGACCCUGGUCCCCUCCUUUUUCCCUUCUUGCUUCCUGAUGGCUCUGAGGUGAAGAGACCUCCACCACACAUUUCUACCAUGAUGUGUUAUGCCACCACAGGACCUAAUAAUUGUGGACAGGAACCUCUAAAACUGUGUGUCCAAAUAAACCUUUCCUCCUCUAAGUUAGUUUAUCUCUGGUAUUUUGUUAUGGCAACAGAAAAGUGACUAACAUAGGGACCCUGCACAUAGUGAUAACCCUUUCCUAAAAAUGCAGUGACCUGCUUACUUAUGUAGAUCUCAUUCUUCACCUGAAGUAAAGUUGAAUUAUAUUGAGAGAACAGAUUAAUGUGGGUAUGGAUUCAUAUAGAAGCUGAUUGACAUAGACCUCUCCUUCUUCCUCCCUUGCUCCCGGAAAGAAAAGCUUAAGUUGUAUAACAAGACAAAUUAAAGGUAAAGAUAUAUGGGAUCUUGCCAAAUGGGGAGGAGGGGAAAGGAAAUACAGGUUUAGAGAAGCAGAAGAAGCCGUCCAUACCUCAAGACUGAUAUUCCUUUUAUCUAAAACACAGUGCCCCCCCCCCCAAAUUCAUGGCUAGAAGCAAGAACAUUUAAUUUGUUCCUGAGUUGGCAAUUUGGCCAGGUUCAGUGGGAACAGCAUGUGUCUCCCUCCACUCAGCUGAAGUUGUUGUAAGGCUGGGGCUGGGUCUGUUCUCCUCACUCACUCGCAUGUACUGGCUGUCGGCUGGGGCUGCCCAUGUGGCCUGGACUUCCUCUUCCCCAUGUGCCGGCUGGGGUCCCAGGAUGAGCAUCUUCCCAGGGGGAGAGGGCCAGGCAGAAGCUGAGACACCCUUUCCAACCCAGCCUGGAGAGUCGCGCUGCUUUACUUUGCACCUGUCCAUUGGCAGUGAGUCACCAAGUGCGUGUCUUCUCAGGCCGCGGUUAACAAACAGACUGGGUGGCUUAACCCAUGGAAUUUAUUUCCUGUUCUGAAGGCCACCAGACUGAGCCCACGAUGUUGGUGGGGCCUCUACCCUCAGUUUGAGGAUGGCCCUCCUCACCCCGUGUCUUCACAGGAUCUCCCCUCUGUCUGUCCGUGUCCUGCUGUCUCCUCCCUAUAAGAACAUGGAUCAGACGAGAUUUAGGGCCUACCCUAAAGACCUCGUCUAAACUGACCUCUUUCAAGGUCCUGUCUCCAAAUACAGUCACAUUCUGAAGUACUAGGGAUUAGGGUUUCAAUUUAGGAAUUCGGAAAAGGACACAACUGAGCCCAUGACAUCCAGCCCAGGCCAUAUUCAAAGGGAGAGGAAUAUUAAAGAAUCUGCACAAGUAUUUUAACACAACCACCACUGGGUAAGUGGCAGGGGUUUUGACAAGUCCUGUAUGUAGUUGACAGGUCCCUAGGCUCCACCCUCUGCCAGUACCCUUGAAAGGGUGUGGAAUCUCAGAGGUCAGUGGGAUAGUGGCUUUCAGGAAAGAUCCCUCAGCCCACAGGUGCGAGCAGCACAUGGUACUAUUCACUAACAGAAGGGCCACAGGUUUUAAAAAUCAGCAUUUGAGCCAUGAAGUGACUCAAAAAGACUCUUCUCCUGUUACCCAACCUCCAAAUAAGAUACUAGAUUCUGGCAUGAACGUAGGGGCUGGAAAGGCUCUCAGAAUCAUGACUGAGAUUGAAUUUCCCACCAACCUGAUGAGUGAGGGCUUAAGAGUUAGAUUUUAUUUAACUUGAAGUAAUGUGAUGUUCCUUCCAACUGAGCUGGGGACCAAGAACACGUGGGUUAUAGUAGAAAAGAAUUAUGUCGGCUUUUCACAUGAGAUAAUGCACUCAUCCAAAAACCAUUACAGUAAGAGUUAUCAGCUAACCUCCUCUAUUCUGACAGAUUCCAGCAGCUGCAGGAAUGGUGCAUUUCCCUGAAGAGUGACUGCCAUAGAUGACUCUAUUAGUCUGUUUUUCGUUGCUCUCACAAAAUACCUGAGCCUGAUUACUUAUAAGCAAAGAGGUUAAUUUAGCUCAUGGUUAUGGAGAGUCAAGAACAUGGCACCAGCAUCUGCUCGGCUCUGGUGAUGGUCACUGGGGCAGGACACUGAAGGGUCUCUGGUCCCUUCCUUUUUCCCUUCUUGCUUCCUGAUGGCUGUGAGGUGAAGAGACCUCCACCACCAUACACUUCUACCAUAAUGUACUGUGCCACCACAGACCCAAGGCAACAGGACCUAGUAACUGUGGACAAAAUCCUCUAAAACUGUAUGUCAAAAUAAACCUUCCUUCCUUUAAGUUAAUUUAUCUCUAUUUAUCUAUUUGUUAUAGCAAUAGAAAGUUGACUAACACAUGUUAUAGCCAGAGGCUAUAGCAUGGUUGCUGGAUGCCAUCAUAGUGGGAGGAUGUGUAAGAAGGAGAGAUCAUAUGGUGACAUGGGAGGCCAGAGACAUUCCAGCAAGCCUUGUUCUUUUUGUAACUCACUCUUGCAGGAACUAACUGAGGUCCUGUGAGAAUUACAUUCAUCGCUUCUGAGUAUUCACCUCAUGGUCCGAUUACCUUGCAUUAGGAUCCACCUCUUAGAGGUCUAACUGCCUUAACACUACCACAAUGAGGACCAAGCUUCCAAUGAAAUUUGGAGGAUACAUUCAAACCACAUCUGAACUUACAGCAGAGUAGUUUUUCAAAAAUCAAAUUAAGAUGUCAUUUUUAGCAUUCAAAUGAGUGGAGAAGUGGAGGACAGUUAGGGAGAGCUCACCCUGGGGAAGACCCCUGGGCAGGGUGGAUGUGUCCAUGUACCACUCACUCUCUUUCUGUCUUGCUCUCAAGUGUCCCACAGAACCGGUCACCUCUUUUCUAUACUUCUUGAAAUGCCACCAAUAAGCAAUUUAGUUAAACUGACACAUUCCCCCGGCAGGUUGAAGGGGUGAUCGUUUUGUUCAUUAAUUCUGUACCAGGACAUUUUGGUUGACUCAGGGACUCGUUAUCUGGUCCUUUAUUGGUUCGAGGGGCUUCAGUUUCAGCUGGUUAGAGGGUGUUGUGUUGAUGGAUGGGCUCAUUGGACCUACUUUCUUAGGAGCACAGAGACAAAACCUCCCCCUUCAUCUCUCAGGGGUUCAGAGUUUUGAUAUUUGUUUGUCCACCCAGAGUCACUUCACCAUGGUUGAUUUCAGAAAGUGUGAUACGGCCCAGAAAGAUGAUUCUCCAUGAGAGAAAAAGAUAUUGAACCAACGGUGAGAUGUGAGAAUGGAUGUUAUUCGGGGUCUACAGGAUGUAUUUCUAUUAUAUAUAUUUCCUCCUGUGGGUUGGGUCUGUGGCCCAACGGUUAUGGUACCACCUAGAGCAGGGGACCAACAUGACCUUCCACCCACUCUGGUAGCCUUGGGUCAAUUCCAAGUCUCUGGCCUUAGGACAAAUUGGAUUAGUAAAUACCAUCUGAAAUGAGUCACCUCAUUGCCUAUUCUUCUCCCGUCAUGCCAGUCUCCCUAAAGCAAAAUAUUAAUAAAUGCCACUACAUAAAAAUUAAAAUGUCUUUAUGGAAGGAAGCAAAUUCCACAAAGUCAAGAGACGAACAAUAAAGUGGUCGGUGAUAUUUGUGACACAUACAAUGGACAAAGAGUUAAUUUCCUUAUUUUACAAAGAGCUCAUACAAAUCGAUAUGAAUUAAAUAUGAAAAGGCCAAUUGAAAAAUGGGCAAAGGAUAUGAAAGGCAGUUUUUCAGAAAAACAAAUGCAAAUAUCUAAUAACUUUAUGAAAAGAAGUUUGACUUUCCUCAAAUUAAAGUCAUGCAAAUCCAGAUGACAUACCGCCAUGUUUCUGCUAUCAGAUGGGCGAAAGCUUAAAAAGUCUGUUAUCUUCAGUGUUGAUGAGUGAAGGAGAAAGCAGAUAUUCUCAUUCACAGUCAUUGUGCAGAGAACUGGAUAUAAUAUUUUAGCCAAGCAUUUUGAUAAAAUGGGUGAGUAUUUCUUAUCCCUUAUGCUUGGGACUAAAGUGUUCAAAUUUUAGAUCUUUUUUUCAUAUAUGGAAUAUUUGAAGAGACUUCUCUAUUGAGUGUUUCUAAUCUAAAAAUAUAAAGUCAGAAAAGCUCCAAAACCUGAAACUUUUGAACAUCAUGUUGAUGCUCAGAAGUUUCAGAUUUUGGAACAUUUUAUAUUAUUAUGUUGGGGUGUUUUAUUUAUAUCAAUCACGAUUGUAAAUUCAUACAUUCUUUGACCCAUGAGGAAGAGUGUAAAUCAUAAUGUACACUCAUGGACAUACAAUCUAACAGUAGAUAGGAGAAUACUCACCGCAGCAGUUUGAAAGGGGACAAUGGGAAAAGGUAUCAUUGGGGAUUUUUUUAUUAUAAUUACUGAAACAUCCUUAUGAUGGAAUAUUAUACAGUCACCAAAAGAAAGUACUAAACUACAUCCAAGCUAUUGAGGGAGAAAAGUAGUACAGAAUAGCAGGCACAAAACGGUCCCAUUUAUGUGAAUGAUAUACAGUACGUAUGCAUAAAACAUUUCUGGAAAUAUUUUUAAACAUGGGGAAUGGGGAGUCAAGAAGGGAAUAAGGCAAUUUUACUUUUUGUGACAUGUAUCUCUUUUAAAUUAACUUUUUUAUCAUUUGCAUAUUUUGCAUUUAUUUACUUAGUUUCUUUUUUUUUUUUUUUUUUUGGAACUCUUCCUGUAAUACACAGCCUGUUUACAUGAGUAUGCUCCAGGUGUACCUGUACUUACUGGGUAGGGUGUUGUGUUGUCUGGCAAAAGGUCUCCCUAAGUGGGACAACAUCAGGAAAUUGCUGGCCCAAUUUAGGAGCAUCAUGUGAGAUGUUGUGGGGAGAGGGGGCCCCGGGAAGCCGAGGUCCUCUCUGAACAAGGUGGAGCAUUGUUUUAGUUAGCUUUUUCAUUGCUAAGACCAAAACACCCAAUAAGAACAACUUAGAGGAGGAAAAAUCUGGUGCUCACAAUUUCAGAGGACUCAGCUCAUAGACGGCCGACUGCAUGGCUCUGGGCCCAAGUGAGGCAGCACAUCAUGGGGGACAGGCCUGGUGGAGGAAAACUGCUCAGCUCAUGGUGGGGCCAGGAAACAGAGAGGGAAUAGGACAGGGGCCACAGGGAAGGAGCACCCUUCCAGGGUACACUCCAGGGGCCCACCUCCCUAUAGCUAUCACCCAGUCAGUCCACUCAACCUUGGAUGGAUUGGUUAAAGUUACAACUCUUGCAACCUAAUCAUUUCACUUCUGAAUAUUUCUCUAUUAACAGGAUCUGUGGGGCCCCCCUCAUAUCCAGACCAUAAUGAACACAAGUCAGUGAACCAUCUGGAUUAGUACUGAAAUUUCUUGGUUUUUAUGGACUGGUGGGAUCUAGAAAAGCUUGGACCUCAAGGAUAAAAGUUAUCUCUCCAGCCCUCCAGUCACUGCCCAGUUCUGGUGAAAGUUUUAAGUAGAAUUGCUCCUAAACAAGCUGGGGCUGAAGAUAAAUAUGUUGUCCAUCAGUGGAAGGAAGCAGGACUUGGAAAAUAUUAGUUUGUGAGCACAAAACCCCAAAGAUAAAAGACCAGUUCUUGGAUUUUAUAGACAUCUUGGGAUUUAUUUUCUAAACAGUUGUGCUGGCCUGCACAGAGACAGGAUGAUUGGGUCUUGUAGUGAGAUUCUACAAGACGACAUCUCAGAAUGCAGAGAUUUGGCUUCAGAUUGCUUUUCCAGCAAGAAAAGUGAAGCCCCAUCCUGUUGGCGAUUCAUCUUGCAGUUGUGGAUUGAAGUCGCUGAAGAAGUUGCAUUUAUAUGAAACAUCCUAAAGACUACUCUAUCUUGGAUGGUGAUUGUGGAGAGAUAGAAUGCUGCAGGUUAAGAGACAAAAUUUUCUUGGACUAUCUUAACUCCUUGAAUAGCCAUUUACCUUAACUUAAAAAAAAAAAAAAAAACUAAUCCCACAUUCUUGUAAAUAAUAGAUGAGCUUCUAAGAAUAUAUCUCUAUAUGCAAACCUCCAGUGCCCACUUACCCUAAAGCUAAGGCUGUUGAAAGAUUCCAUCUGAAACCAUAGAAGAGAUGCUCUCCUUUCUGUAGCCCCCCACCUCAAGCUCCUACCAGUGUAAUUGGUCAGUUUAUUAAUUGAUUGAUGACCUUUUUUGAUGAUUAAAGUUCAUGUAACUUUUAUAAGUUCUUCCAUGAUGGCCCAUACAUUCAGGAAACUUGAAACCAUCUUCCUGGGCCAUGGUAAUUUAACAUGGAAAAUUAAUAUGGUAAAUUAGCAUGGUAAUUUAACAUUUAACUCAGAAAUAAACAACUUUCUUAGUUCCUACAAAGCAGUCUUCCCUCCCUCCCUUCCUCCUCCUCCUCCUCCUCCUCGUCCUCCUCCUUCCUCCUCCUCCUCCUCCUCCUCUUCCUCCUCCUCCUCCUCUUCCUCCUCCUCCUCUUCUUCUUCUUCUUCUUCUUCUUCUUCUUCUUCUUUUCUCUCUCUCUCUCUCUCUCUCUCUCUCCCUCCCUCCCUCCCUCCCUCCCUCCCUCCCUCCCUCCCCACCUCCCUCUUUCUUCUUUGUUUGACACAGUCUCACAGCCAAAGUGUGUGGCUUCAUAGAUAGUAUAAUAGUUCCAAAUGAACUCAAGUGUUUUAGCUCCAAAUCUCAUGAACUCUCAUAAAUAACAGUUCUCAAACUUUAACAGGCAUCCGAAUUGCCUGGAAAAGAGUGUUGAAAGAAAUGGCUAUCUGGGUCCCAUCCCCAGGGUGUCUGAUUCAGUAGGGCCCAGGGUGGGAUUCAGAAUUUGUAAGUUCUCAAAUGACACUGUUGGGUCUUAUGAACACACGUGGAGAACUUCUGGUUUAUAAAUAUACUUCACCAAUUUUUUCCCCUCUCUCAUCGACAAUGCGCACAUCCUUCAGUCUCAUGCUCACCUAACAACCUGCCUAAAAGACAUCUUUAAUGAUCACUGAGACUUGAAUCCCCUUCUCCUUUUCCUAACACCAAAGAACUCCUUUGGCAAUGGCAGAAGCUUCCUUGAAAGGGUGUGCAGGAGAAAACACUGAACAGGCAAAACCAGGGGCCUCUUUUGCAGUCAGAGAGAGAACUGAGAAUAUCCCAGGGUUAAUUUUUGUGGUCAUCUAUCUUCCAUCAGGGUCUGGGGCACUGGUGGUAAGCAGGGAUGGGAGUGGGGGAGGGGAGGGGCUUUGGUCUCUGAAUCUCCCUGUGGCUGCUUAAGGAUGGGGGUAUCAGAGAAUCUUGGUGGCCCCAUUCCCAGAAGGAGAAAAACAGAAAUCUCCACUGUUUGUUUUUAGAAGCCAGUGGGGCCUGGCUUCCUGCAGAGCCGCUCACAGCUCUUCUUUCUUGCUUUUUAUUCUCCUCCCCUGUACCUCCUGGGGGAUGAUUCCUUUCAUCCAGGGGCUGCCUUCUGAAGCAGCACACCAGGCCACACACACAGUGAUUAUCCCAGAGGGGCCCAGGACCCCUGGGGCAGCAGGAGCAAGGGAGUAUUUUUGUUGGACAAUGAUGGAAAUUUUCUUUUUCCUCUCCAUUUCCCUAGUGGAAAAUAUAAGAAGACAGGAAAGAAGGGAGGAAGGAGGAAGGAAGUCAAGAGAGAAAGAAUCAGGUUCAGAGUGUAGAUAGGGGGUAGGGCUUGAACAUACCCUGUUUAAAAAAAUGAUCCCUCCUCCUUCUCUGGGCAAUACUAAUCUCCUAGGUAAAGUAGCUUUUGCUCAAAUUUAAAAGUACUUUUCUAAAAAACAAAAUCCAAAACAAAACUAAAAAAAAAGGAGACUCAGCCCAGCUGUUAAACCAGUGGUUUCACAGAGCAGUGUUUCUUACAUCUUGAGGCCUAAAGGAGUCCUCAUUGUUUUGAAGAUAGCCCUUUAUCCAACACAGGCGAGAAGCCUGAAACUGGAGGUAAAACUUUCUAAGACAGAAAAUAUUUAUUCUGUGGUGCUGACCAAGGCCAUCCACUGCAGAGAGCUGGGUUGCUGCAGGAAGACCCACAUUAUAAGCCAGGUCCUACUGCCUACCAGCUCUCAAGGGGAUUUCUAAGGAAGUGUACUCUUCACUCAAUCAACAAGCAUUUAUUGAGCACCAACUCUUGUGCUGAAAUUCAAAGAUAUAGACAAUAUCAUUCUGUUCCCAGGGGAUUUGAAGUUCAAUAGAAGAGAUGGAUAAAUCUACGGAUAAUUACAAUAUAGCUAUAAGAGGGGUGGGAAACAUGUUGUGUUCCAGCAGCAUGCAAGGGGGCCGUAGCAUCAGUUUGGUUGGAAGAGGUUUCCUGGAAGAGGCUAUAGUUGAACUGAGCCUGGAACAAGGAGUGGGAGGGGUUGGGGGCCCAGAAAGAGCCUCCUAAGCAGAGAGAAUAGAAGGCAUGUGCUCCAGGGCCCUGAAAUUGCAUAAAUUACAGAGGGAAUUGCAAAUUGUGUUGGAUCACAGGGUCUCUGGGGGUGUGAUGUGGAUAGGGUCAGGUCACAGAGGCUCUGUGUACUGAGGCCAAGUUUCAAUUAACCAAAGCUGCAAAGAGAAAUUUUGCAUAAUUAGUUAUAAUAAUAAUAAUUACAAUCAUCAUCAUGAUAACUACAUUUAUUGAGCCCAUCCAUGGCUAUCAUUUAACUCUCAUAACAGCCUCAAGAGAUAGGUACUGAUAUUCCACCUGUUCAAACUGAUGAGGAAUUUGAGGCUCAGAGAGGAUCGGCAACUUGGAGAUGUGCUGGUGAGAUUCCCAACCCCAUCAGAUCCCGAAGCACCUUUUAGUGACUGAUAUUUUUUUAAAUUGCCUUAUUAAUAUGAAAUAAAAUUCAAACUGAACAGAAUCCAUUUUAGAACAUACUUAAAAUAUGUAUAAUGCCCAUCUGUAACCUAACUUAAAAAUGAAGAAAAAUAAUUUAGAAUAAAAUAAUAUGUAUUUCCAUAUGGGAGCAGUCAGACCUGACUGUUCUAGAAACAAAAUAGUCAGUGGUUGAACUUAUAUAUAGACUCACCUUAAAUGCAAAGCUGCAGAUGUAGACAGAUACCUGUGUGUUGAAGGAAUGAAGUCUACACUAUGAGCAUCGAGGCUGAUGGUAAACCCAUCGUUUUGAAAAGGUGAUGCAUCCUUGGGAAAGUUCUGAGUCACAAACUACAAAGUUCCCUCAAAGACUGAUGGCAGAACUGCAGUGUGGACCUCUAUCAGCUAAUCCAAAGUUUAGGAUGAUUGCUUCCCAUGGAGAUGACUUCAUAUCUCAGGGGCACCAGGGCCAGACUGGGAGGGGUCUGGAAGAACUCUGGGAGAGCUGGGUGUGGCUAUGCAGAGUCCCAUCUGUUCCCCCCCACCACCACUGGAGUUUGCAAUGUUGAGUUGUUUGCUUGCUUAAUACUGUAUUUUUCCCAAUGAGUGGGAUCUCUUCAGUUCUGGGCUCCUGACUGAGUUUUCCUGCUCCUGCCAUGGAGAUUUCCAAGUCUUUUGACAAGUAUGCAUCAGAACUCCAGCCCCAUCUACAAGUUCUGCUGAUGGAGCACAUAUAGCACGGCCUGUCAUACUUAAUAAGACUCCGAAAAUGACAAAUUGUUCAUCAAUUGUCCAAGCAUUUGUCAAACCUCUAUUUUGUGUGUAUGAUCUAUUGUUUCUAACAAACCACUAUAAACCUUAGUGUCCUAAAGUCCCUAAACCCUAUGGGUUGAACAAUAUGUGUUUCUCCUUGAUAUGGUGUUUGGUGGGGCACUUAUUUACCAGUUGAUCAACUAAGAGCUUUAUUUCUCCUUUAUGUAAGCCCCUCCACAUAGUUGCUUGAGUUUCCUCACAGUAUGGCUGCUGAAUUCCUGAAAGAAGCUCUCUAAGAACAGGCAGAGGCUGCAGGUCUUUGAAGGCACAGCUCUAGUGUUACACAGCACCACUUCUGCAGCUUCCUAAUGGUCAAAACAAGUCACAGGGUCAUCCCAGAUUCAAGGAGAAGUGAAAUAGACUAUAUCUUUUAGUGAUUAGUUGGAAGGAAUGUAUGGUCCUCUUUACUUCACCAGAACCUACCAUAUACCAGGCACUCCUAUCUACCUCCUCUUCAAGAACACUGAUGUUUCAUGUUAGUGAAUGUUUCUGGGUGUGUUUUGUGUAUGUACAUUUCAGAGUCAUCUUAAUACUGUGUCUAUAAAGCUUAGAAUAAUAUAUAUAUAUAUAUAUAUAUAUAUAUAUAUAUAUAUAUAUAUAUAUAAAACAUAACACAAGAAGAAGUGGUCAAUCAGCUACACAAGUAGAUAUGUACAUAGAGAGACUCUGGAUGGAAGUUCUUGAUGCCAUACGAGCCUGAAUCAGGGGCAUAAAGCCAUAACCUAGAAAAUCAGAAAAAAAUCUGAUAUAGUAACAUUCAAGCUGAGAUCUGAAGAAUCCAUGGAGCUAUUUAAGUUAUAUGUCUGCAAUGGACAUAGUAUAUCCUCAAGUAAUAUUUGUUGAGUGAGUGAAUGAAUCUUAGCCAUAUUAUGACAGUCUGAGCCAAGAAAGUCAGGGGUGCUGGAGAACAGAGAGGAUGGAGGGUUUUGGUGUGAAGUAAGUUCAGAGGAGGAUAGAUGUGCAGAUGCUGGUGUUAAGUAUGUGGGUCUUCAGCCCUCGAGUAAUGGAUUUGAAGCCAGAGCAAUUUGGUUCAGUAAGGUCUGGGCUUUGAGAAGGUCGUCUGACUGUAAUGUAGAGAAUGAAAUGUUUGGAGGCGUAGGUGGUGGGUGGGAGGAGCAGAGGUUGAAGGGAGGAGGGAGAUUGGAGGGUGCUAUGUAGUGGACCAUGAGAGUGGUGUAGGACACACCCACCAAACCACAGGGAGUUAGCAAGAACCCUGCAGAGCAAGGUCAGAACACUGGGAAAGAAAUGGCUCUUUAGUGGUGGCCACUUCCUCUACUGCCCCAGGAGACUGUGGGAAUCUCUCUAUAGACUGGACCAACCAGCAGGGCUCUGAGCCCUGGAGGUAAAUGGAGACACCCUGGAGAAAAGGCAAAGAAGUGAAGCAAGCAAAACUCGCUACCUCUCAGAGCUGCCAUUCUGCCCAGGUACUGCGGUGCCUUCUCCACCUCAGGCUCUGUAGAGGAUUAUUGAUUUCUGCUGCUGAGAAUAUAACUUUAGCACUUGCUUUCGGGCCUCUCAUUUUAUGCCGUUCUUGAGACCGUGGCUUUGAAGAUCGAUGGCUCUGAACAAGACAGAGGAGAGGAGAGCGAGAUUUCUCCACUCAAGCUUACGCUGUCUCAAGGUGGUGCAUGAAUCACUGUCAAGUCCCUGGACACAGGAGCCACAGAAAUAAGGGCCAUGCAUUUAGGAUUCCCCAUAGGUGGCCUUGCAAGAGUUUUGCAUUUAUGAUUUUUAUUGUGGAAAAUUUCAAACAUUCAAAAGUAGAAUAGUAUAGUGAAUCCCACCAUCAUCUCCAACCAUUGAUAACUCAUGGCCAAUCAUGUCUCAUCGGUAUCCACAAACUCUCUCCUCCUGCAUUGCUGAGGCCAACUCCUAGGCUCCACAUGAUUCCAUCUGUGAAUGUUUCAGCAUGAUUCUCUAUAAGAUAAGGGCUCUGCAAGAGUUAAAAAUCUUAGUGACCUAAAGUAUUAUUUUGGACAAUGAUCCAUAUAGGAUGGUGGUCCAUAAGAGUUCAGUGGAGAUGGAAAUCUCCUAUUGCCUGGUGACAUCAUAUCCAUCCUAAGGUCAAGGUCGCAGUGUAAUGCAUUACUGUUUCCAUGGUGAUGUUGUGUAAACAAACCUGUCAUGCUGCCAGUAGCAUAAAAGGGUAGCAAUAUGAUUUAAUUAUAUUGCAUAGUACAUUAAGAUUAUAUGGUACAGUAAUAAUACUUGAUAAUGAUAAUAAAUGACUAUGUUACUGGUUCAUAUAUUUAUCAUGCUAUACUAUUUUUAUUGUUAUUUUAGAGGAAUGAUUUUUACUUAUUAAAAAAAGUAAUUUUUUUUACAUUACGCUCAUAGCAGCCUCAUGCCUACCAUGUACUGCAUCUUUUGAUCAUAUCAAGAGGCCAUACAGAGCAAAAGCCUUCUAUCAUCUGGGUUUGUGUUAAGUAUACUCUGUGACAUUGACACAAUGACCAGAUCGCCUAAUGCACUUUCCAGAAUGCAUUCCUAUUGCUGAAUGAUGUGUGAUUGUGUUUGUAAUUAUGAUGUAAUUUAUGUCGUGAUUUAUUAUGGUGACUUCUUUUUUUUUUUACCAAUACAAAAGUAUUUUAAUUUUUAAAAAUAUAUAACUGAAAUUAUUAUUAAUUUUAAGAUAAAGGCACUUGGCUUCUUUUCUUUUCUGUUGCUAUUAACUUUUUUUAAAAUUUAUUUUUUAAAUACAUGACAAUAGUGGAAUGCAUUACACUCAUUAUUACCCUUAUAUAGCACAAUUUUUCGUAACUCUGUAUAUAAAGUAUGUUCAUGCCAACAUGGUGACUUCUUCAUGUUAUCAAAUAGUUAAUAGAUAUUUGUGCACUUCUCAAUCAUCUUGUAAAUGUUGUUGUUGCUUGUUUUUAUUUGUUCAAUUGAAUCAGAAUUCAUUUCUAAUGCUGAGAUCCACACCUUAAAUUGAUUUCUAGACCUCAUAGGUCCUUGGUAAUCUAUAGAGUCUCCCUAUGUCUCUCUUGUUUGGCAAGUAUUUUGUAGAAGAAAGUAGGUGGGUUGUCUGGUAAAAUUUCCCACAUCUUGAUCUUGCCGAUAACCUCUUUGUGGUGACAUUUAACAGAUACCUUGUCCCCUGUGUUUCCUGUUAAGUCCGAGUUGGAUGUUGAAUUUUGAUUAAAUUCCUAAUCAAUGUUUUCUGGCAAAGCUACUUGGUAGCCGGAGCUCUGUUCUUUCAUCAGGAGAUACACAGUGUCGACUCUCUGCAAUGGAAGCCGUCAUCGAUCAUUGCUUAGACACAUUAGUUCAUUAGGGAUUGCAAAAGGGUGAUGAACUAAUUCUACAGUCUAUCUUUAAAAAAAUAUUAUUAGCCAGAAUGCUUCCAUACAGAGAAACUUUCCGUCAUUAACUACUUGGUUAUGCUGAGGCAUUGUUCUUAUAGAUAAACAUGAUUAAUGUUCAAUUCUUUCCCUUUGUUUAACAAUUUUCCAAGUAAUGUGUUGAUUCUGUAGCAAUCUCUAAGGAUGACUAAUGAAUGUUUUUAAAUAUCAUGGAUUAAAAGAUAUUAGAUGUGGAUUUGAAAGUUAUUAAUGCUCAAGUGAUUCCAUCCUUGGCCAAAGGGAGCCUCUUCAAGUUUCCUCCGGAAUCCUUUGACACAAUCCUAGUAGUCUUUGAUGGCUUUCCUUGCUUUCUGGUGUGACAAAUUCUUCAUUGGUACAUUUCCUGCUUUGGACAUCAAAUCAGUCAUUUCUCCAAGGAGCCCCGAACUCUCUUUGAGAAAUGCAUUUAGAGAUAGCAAAUCUAGGCAAAUGAGUGCUCAAGUGUUUCUGCAUGGCUGUUUCCAGAUACUUCCUGUGAAUAGAACUAGGGAAUAUGUAUCAUGCGGAUAUGUAUCGAACAGAUAUUUUCUAUUCAAAUUCAGGAUUAUGGGAUUUUAGCCACUGUCAUCUAUCUUACAUUUGUAUUUCUUUUCUCCUAUCUUGAAAUUCCUGGUUUUCAAUGUCACCCACAAAAUCAUUCAUUUGAUUUAUAACAUGCUACACUCACAAUGGCCCCAGAAUAGUGCCAGCAUUGUCCCUAACUCGAUUAAUAAAGACAAUUUGUUUCUCCAGUUCCUUUCUUCCUGAGGAUAUAUCUUAGUAAGAAUGUACAGCCAAAUAACUAUGAUUUACACUUCAAAUAACUCCUUUGUAUUUGAUUAUAUCAAUGACUAGUUAGUUACAUUUCAUUUAACUUGGAGUUUACAGGGAGUACUUUUAAAAAUGAGAUAUAUUAAAAGAAAUCCCUGUCCUGUCUACUCAAUAGCUUCUUCUCCCUAUAAGGAACCACUUACAAAUUUAAAAUUUUUCUUUCUACUGCAUGAAUAUAAAGACAUUACGUAGAUAUAUAUAUAUAUAUAUAUAUAUAUAUAUAUAUAUAUAUAUUUAGAUAAGUUGUACUCACAACUUCUCCUUGCUUAAAAUGUAGUAUAUUAUACACAUUAUUUAACAUUUGGCUUUGUUUUAAGCUAAUAAUAUAUCCUAGAUCACACACACACACACACACACACACACACAUACAAACCGGUUUCUCUAAUCCCACCCAUGCCACUUAGCUGUGUGAUCUUGGGCAUGCAACUUAACCUUUUUGAGCUCUCUUCUCAUCUAUAACAGUAGAGCAACACUGUUUCCCUCCCAAAGUCGUCCUGGAGGUUACCUGUGUCAGCACUAACAUAGUGGGUAACACAUAGUAGGCUCUCAAAUUUUUAUAGAUGCCAUAAUAUUUAAUAAUGUUUAUGUGCCUCCCAUUUCAUUUCCUAUCAGUGUGUCACAGUGAAGCCUAAGAGGGCUGGUUGGGGAAACUAAGAGUCAUUGAAAAAGAACUCAAAGAAUUAGAAUGUUAAGACUGGCAAGAGCCCGUAGAGACCUAGGUAGUUAUCCCAGUUAUUUUACAGAGAGAAAAAUAGAGACCCAGAGAGGUGAUGUGAUAGGCCCAAAGUCAUAGGUCAGGAUGGGAAGGGUCUGCUGGGGAUGCCAGUCCAAUUAUUUUUCAAGAUCAGUUUCCUUUAAAGCCAAGCUCAUCUUCUGCACUUGUUUCUCUGCACACCACCACCAUUCUCUGUAAAAGGAGAAGCAGGGUGAGGGACAGGUCAGGGAAACUGCCUUCAAUAAGAGCUCCCUUCCUCCCUCCCCUCCUCCCUCCCCUCCUGGGGAUUCUGUGAGGAGGGCUGGUGCUGGCACUGAUCCCUAUCUUUGAGUCAGGGCUCAUUAAUACACCCAGUUGGGGACUGUGGCCAUAAGCAAGUUCUAGAAACAGCUUCUUGCCCUCAGGGGGCUUUCAAGCUAUUAAAACAACUUCAAGCUCAUUUAAAAACCAAAUAUGGCUGUAAAAAUAUAUGUCAGUGUUUAAAAUAGUAAUGAGUUUGAGUGGCAUUAUCUUAUUUUCAUUACCACAACCCUAGGAGACUGCCAGUAUUAUUGCUUUCUCUCUUAUAUAUCAGGAAGAGAAAAAAAAAAGGCUUAAGUAGAUACUGCAGCUUUCUCAAAGUCAUGCAGCUGAUGAGCAGCAAAACUGGAUUUGGGUUUGGGUCUGACUCCGACUUCCAUGCUGCUGAUCAGAUGCCAAGGGGACGAUGGAACAUUUUCACUUCCACUUGUUUGAGACAAAGAGAAGGAAAUAAACAGGGUAUUCUGGGGUAGUGUGAGGUCGUUCCAUGUUUAAUUCAUCCAUUCAUUCAUCCCUUCAUGCAUUCUUGCCCUAAAAAUCUAAACUUUAAAGACUGUCUGGGUUUGGGGGUGGGGAUGUGCUCAAGCGGUAACGCGCUCGCCAGGCAUGUGUGGGGCGCUGGGUUCGAUCUUCAGCACCACAUAAAGUAAAGAUGUUGUGUCCACCUAAAACUGAAAAAUAAAUAUUAAAAAAAUUCUCUCUCUCUCUCUCUCUCUCUCUCUUUCUUUAAAAAAAAAAAGACUGUCUGGUUUGAAUCCUGGCACUAUCCCUUACUAGCUGAGAAGGUAACUUAUCUUCUCUGUGUCUCAGUUUCCUCAUCAGUGUGAUGGGGAUAAUUGUACCCACUUUAUGGGCUGUUCUGAGAUUUUAAUGAGUUCAUACAUUAAAGCAGUUAAAAAUGUGCCAUAACCCACUUGUAUCAAAUGUAUGAAAUAUGAUAUGUCAAGAACUAUGUAAUGUUUUGAACAACCAAUAAUAAAAAUUUAAAAAAAUA
rnacentral:lncRNA from 1 species